rnacentral:lncRNA from 1 species
CAAAUAAUAAGUUUGUAUAUACGUGCUUGUAUUGAAAUAAAGUAUCCAUUAUGUUUUAAUCAUUUUUAUACCAUAUUAAAAAACAAAGUCAAAUUUUCACAUGUUAAACGGCGCCAUUUUGAAUAUUGCCGCCAUUUUGAAAAUAUCAUUAAUGUACCUAGGUAUUAAUUAUACAUUUUAGGCUUUUGUCUAUAUCAAUUGAUCAGUUUCACAGCUUUAGUAACUUGCUAUCACACAAUGGUGGUGUAUACAUACGAAUACUCUCAAACUUAGACAUUUUGACGCGCCAUUUUGAAGUUGGACGCCAUUUUGAUGAUUUCUGUACUAUAAGGUUCAAAAAAAUAAUAAAUGACAUAUAUUUUAAUUGUAUUUCCUUACGUUUGUGAUAUCUUCUGAACUCAUUAGAAUUGGCAGACUUCAUCAAGUGAAUGAUGUUAUACUUGUGUCGGCCAUCUUGAAUUUGUCGGCCAUAUUCGAUUUUUUUUCGAGGCUCCAUAUCUGAAUUUUGUCUUUACCCUUUAAUCUUUCACUAUGCCAAGUUGCAUGCUUUGACCAUAAAAUGAUCAAUUAUUCUGAUAUCCGCUGGACUAUAGGAAUACACAAACAGAUGACCAAUUCUUACGUCAAAAUGGUUUAAAUUGUUAAAAUAAAAACGCUUGGUAGUGUUAUUAGGAAAACUUGAAAUUUGUGUCUUUAAAUUUGAUAUCAGUGGUCUGUCCUCAAAAGCUUGACAUAUAUUCCUCAUAACAAAAGAAGGAUACUCAAUGUACAUGUACUAACGUUGGUUCAAUCGGAACAUGAUUAAGAAAAAUGAACCAGUCCAUUCUCCAUUUGAGAUAAAAAAAAAAAAAAAAAAAAAAAUCACAGCAAAGCUACAUAUUCUAGAACAAGUUCAAUGUGGAUAUUAUUAAUUUUUCCUGCCAAUAGGCGCUAUACAAAACAAUUCUUACAAAUAGAAUACUAAUUAACGUAAACAUGUAAUAUACACGUUCACACAUUGUUCUGAUCCCCGCACAUAUAUCUACAUUCACAGAUGAUGCGUACUUGUUUAUGUCAUACCAAUGUUGGAGAUCAAGUUUAAGAAAGUGAUAGAGAAUUUUAAGUGUUAUGUAUGAAGCCUAUACGACAAUUAUUCAAUAAACAAAUGAUAAACACG